AGCGAACGCUGGCGGCAGGCCUAACACAUGCAAGUCGAACGAACCUUUCGGGGUUAGUGGCGGACGGGUGAGUAACACGUGGGAACGUGCCUUUAGGUCCGGAAUAACUCAGGGAAACUUGUGCUAAUACCGAAUGUGCCCUUCGGGGGAAAGAUUUAUCGCCUUUAGAGCGGCCCGCGUCUGAUUAGCUAGUUGGUUGAGGUAAUGGCUCACCAAGGCGACGAUCAGUAGCUGGUCUGAGAGGAUGAUCAGCCACAUUGGGACUGAGACACGGCCCAAACUCCUACGGGAGGCAGCAGUGGGGAAUCUUGCGCAAUGGGCGAAAGCCUGACGCAGCCAUGCCGCGUGAAUGAUGAAGGUCUUAGGAUUGUAAAAUUCUUUCACCGGGGACGAUAAUGACGGUACCCGGAGAAGAAGCCCCGGCUAACUUCGUG
rnacentral:rRNA from 1 species